UUGACCGAUGGUGAGGUUCUUGAGUUUGUAUUCAAGAUGGGUUCCUAAUGCUGUGAGCAUGGCCUUUUUAGUUUAUUCAAGGUUUGGGAUCUUUCAUAUUCUAGCACAGUUGUGCCUUCCAUAUUUUUAAUGUACUACAUGCAUUGGAAUGUAUGAACAUUCUAGCAUAAUUUACUUGUUUUUUAAUGACUUCUAUCAUAUAUUCUUGAUAAUUGAAUGCCCAUCUUGUUGAGUACAAAGGAUACUGAGAUUGCUUAGUCUGAAUGAUGUGCAGCUAAACUAACACUUGAAUCACCUUGCAUUCCUAUGGCUGAAAGCACCAAGUUUAGUAUGCUUACGACAAAGUAUGCUCUGUUUCCAUCGUCCCCUUAUCCUCUAUACGACUAUACCAGCAUGAUCACCUCGAAUGAUGGGGAUUGCAUACUAGACAUCAUGAGCUCAGGGGUCAACUCCUUUGAUCAUCUGUGUGAGAGGUGAGUAUAUGCUAUCCUAUUUUAUUGUACAAAGGUAUAUAAUUAAUUCAUGUGAACGAAACUAAGGAUCCAGAGAUGACUGCAUUUUUUUAAAAGCAAAUGCAAUGCAACUAUUGUACAUAGAUGCAAAAAGUUCAUACCAUGUAUUAUCGAUAUUUCUUUUUCUGUGUUCUUUAAAUCUCUCCCCUUAGUAUGGAACCAUGGAUUUAGAACCUAGAAAAAGAGAUACCCAAUUUGUGAUUAUUCUUAAAACAAUCAAAACAGUUAGAUAUACAUGUAUUGAUAUGAAAAUUUUCAAGCAUGUGAGCUGGUUAUCUGUUUUGUAUUCUGAUUUUUUUUUCAGAAAUAAGGUGUUGGUAUAAACCGUUGCUAUAAUGUUUGCUAAGGUCUUGCAAUAGACUAAUAUAGCUAUCAAUUGCUUUUUUUUUGAGACUGUGUCUGACCACGUUUUUCAAUAAAAGAAGGAAUUUUUGGUAUAUUUGCGCUUUGUAUUAGAGUUAAUAGGACAUCUGCGAUCAAUUUCAUACUGCAAUUAGGUACAGCUUGCAAUAUCUUGGCUUAAUGCCUUAUGUUUUGUAGGUAUAGAUCUCAAUAACUUUCUGACUUGUGCUUUGUGCUAGCGUUGGUACUUGUGAGCUGUUUUCGGUGUGAUGGUGUUCAGAUAUAUUCAGCAAUAAGUUGUUGAAGAAGAAAGAAAAAGGACCAGUUGCAAAUCAUUUACGAAAGAAUAUUGAUAGCAUUAUGUGAAUAAAUGUAUUAUGCAUACAUCGUAUAUGAAGAAAUCUGAAACCUCAUACUAGGAUAGAUGUGGGGACGAUGGCAGGGAUGUGAAGGAGGGAAGAUGGUUGUGCAGCCAGUUGCGACCAAAGUAGCAUGGGAGCUUUAGCAGAAUUGGAGUGCUAAUGUAGUAGGACGGUUUUUUUUUCUUAUUUGCUGAUUUGUGAGUGUAUAUAAAAAUUUCUAGAUAGCAAUUUAGCUUAGUUUCAGUAUUUUUACACUAAUUUGAACAAUGGUUUUUUAGAGU